rnacentral:misc_RNA from 1 species
GGCUCCAAUUUGGACUUGAACUCGAGACCUCACAGUCCUAGAGAUGACUCUAGUACCACUGAGUCGAAGGUAGUUGGUAUCUUCUACCUCUUCCUCUGCUUGUAUCUCCGUGUGUGUUCAGUGUGCAGCUUGAGCAAUGCUCAUGUUACGUAUAUAUUAUCAGCUGGGAUAUUCACAUUCCUCUUUUAAAAGAAUCAGAUCCCAAUGCACCUAAUACGCUGGCAGCAGAGGAAUCUUCCAUUGCUUUUCCCCAUAUUAAAUUUCUUAUAAUAAGAGAAUACUUGGAAAGGAAAAUGGGACCGCAAACCAUACCAUUAAAGAAUUAUACGAAGCACUUGUUCUUUCGAUUGGCUUCUAUUAAGGCGUGGAUUGCGCACGAAUAUUGACUCACUGAGUGC